rnacentral:lncRNA from 1 species
AGAGCAUUCUUCAUUACAAGGGUUUGAAAAAGCUUAAGCACUUAAGAAUGAAUGCAUUCCACUGUCUAAGAUGUGUUUCCUAAGACUGGGAAUAAACCAGUGAUAAUUAGUCAUCAAUUGUGCUCUAUGCUCAAUUAGACUUGCCCCAUGGCUUGUCUGUUAGUAGAGUUGAUCGCUAUGUUUACAUGUAAGUCAGGCCCAUGUUGUCCUUGAGUCCAACAGCUGACCCAUGGGACUGCCCCAUAGGAGCAGAGAAAUCUUUUAAUCAGCUUUUUCCCCCACCAUUGAUUCGCCUUCCCAUGGCAGGGACACUAU